rnacentral:rRNA from 1 species
AUUGAACGCUGGCGGCAUGCCUUACACAUGCAAGUCGAACGGCAGCACGGGUGCUUGCACCUGGUGGCGAGUGGCGAACGGGUGAGUAAUAUAUCGGAACGUACCUUAUUGUGGGGGAUAACGCAGCGAAAGCUGUGCUAAUACCGCAUAAUCCCUAAGGGGGAAAGCGGGGGACCGUAAGGCCUCGCGCAAUUAGAGCGGCCGAUACCUGAUUAGCUAGUUGGUGAGGUAAAGGCUCACCAAGGCAACGAUCAGUAGCUGGUCUGAGAGGACGAUCAGCCAUACUGGGACUGAGACACGGCCCAGACUCCUACGGGAGGCAGCAGUGGGGAAUUUUGGACAAUGGGGGCAACCCUGAUCCAGCAAUGCCGCGUGAGUGAAGAAGGCCUUCGGGUUGUAAGGCUCUUUUGUCAGGGAAGAAACAGCAGCUCUAACACAGUAUGCGAAUGACGGUACCUGAAGAAUAAGCACCGGCUAACUACGUGCCAGCAGCCGCCGCGG